GGGGACUAGCGGUCUGGUCCGGCGUGCCCACAUGCAGGCAGACCGCUGCCAGCGCAGUGCAGAAGAAGCCAUCGCGUAAACCCGCCUGUUAAAAGAGGCAUGAAUGACCGGAUCGUAUGAGGAAAGAUAAAUCCAUACGUGUAAUAGGUGACAUACCACCAGCAGAAGUUGAAAGCAAACGACAUGUGACAACAUGCAAGGUAACAUCUACUAGUUACAGCCUGUGCGUUUAGUGCAAAGAAAAAGUCAAGACGAAAUCCCACAGAGCAAAAGGCGCAUACAAGGUGCAAAGGCUUUACCUUUAUUACAGACUUCAAGAUCAAGAUGUGCAGACAAAUGAUGGCUACAGAAGCAGCAGAUAUGCGAUAGCUUCCAGGGGAGAGCAACGAAUGCGGAGGUGCGAUAAGGAGGCUUCGGAUCUGCGUCGCCAAAUGCCCUUCCCGAAUUGUGACACCUCCCAGAAACAUCGACACCAUUAACGCUGCACUCUGUCGUAGACAAAGGUCAUUAUAAAGUUGAUGCAAGCAACAGGUUUACGCUGGGGCAACGAUAGACAUUUAUAGUAUAUAUUUUAGUGUACUAAUUUGCUGGCAAAACAAAUAAUCGGCUUGUGCUUAAAACGUCUUAAAAUUACUUCCCCUUGUUCAAAGUUCGUUGCGCGAAUUGACAACCCAGGAAGCCGUUUCCAUCACAACUUUAGUAGGUCAAAAUUACUGCGUAUAUGGCAAACAGAAUGCGAUUUUAGCACAGUGUAUUCACUUAACAUUUGAAAAUGAACAUUUUAAUGUUAGUGUUUGUAUAAUAUCUUUCAUGCAACAUUACGCAAUUGCCGUGACAGCAACUGGACACAAGAUGUCAGUCUCAGCUGCGAUAGCAGUAUGUGUUUGUUUUUGAUACCAGUGGUCGCAUAGAUCGGUGAAACGGCGUGGUGUCUAAUGUAUGUUUUUUAAGUCUCCUUCCCUUCGGUAGCCGUUGCAGUUUCCUGAAUUUGAUACUUAAUUAAAAACAAUGAAAAUUA